rnacentral:rRNA from 1 species
UACGGGGGGGGCAAGCGUUGUUCGGAAUUACUGGGCGUAAAGGGCCAGUAGGCGGCCAACUAAGUCCGACGUGAAAUCCCCAGGCUUAACCUGGGAACUGCGUCUGAUACUGGAUGGCUUGAAUCCGGGAGAGGGAUGCAGAAUUCCAGGUGUAGCGGUGAAAUGCGUAGAUAUCUGGAGGAAUACCGGUGGCGAAGGCGGCAUCCUGGACCGGCAUUGACGCUGAGGAGCGAAAGCCAGGGGAGCAAACGGG